rnacentral:rRNA from 1 species
CACGGAAUUAGCCGAUGAACGCUGGCGGCGUGCUUAACACAUGCAAGUCGAACGAACCUUCGGGUUAGUGGCGGACGGGUGAGUAAUGCGUGAGAAUCUGCCCUCAGGAGGGGGAUAACGGUUGGAAACGGCCGCUAAUACCCCAUAUGCCGCGAGGUGAAAUGAAUUUCGCCUGAGGAUGAGCUCGCGUCUGAUUAGCUAGUUGGUGUAGGUAAUGGCUCACCAAGGCAUCGAUCAGUAGCUGGUCUGAGAGGAUGAUCAGCCACACUGGGACUGAGACACGGCCCAGACUCCUACGGGAGGCAGCAGUGGGGAAUUUUCCGCAAUGGGCGAAAGCCUGACGGAGCAACGCCGCGUGAGGGAUGAAGGCCUCUGGGCUGUAAACCUCUUUUAUCAAGGAAGAAGAUCUGACGGUACUUGAUGAAUAAGCCACGGCUAAUUCCGUG